UUACAGAUAAAAGAACACAUAUUUCGUUUCCAUCUCAUCAUGUGCAUCUUCUCUUUUCACCAUGUCAUGCCAUGCAACUCUAUUUCUUCAAAACCCAUAGGAAGACGUGUAGAACGAACGUCUUCAACACAUAGAGCAAACAAAGGACUUCAAUUUGCAAGAAAAAACUCAGUCAUACAACACACAAGCAACUCUGAUCCUUCAAAACCGUGCCAAGCUGCUAUGGUUACAAUUGAGAGCGACUAUUUCAGGCUCAAAAAGGUUUCUCUUCAGUCGGGUCAGUUUUCCCUCCACCGUCACAUAUAUGCAUCCAACGGACCUGUAACCUUCUUCCUCCAGACAUACGCCAAAACACACGACCGUCCACGUUGCAGCCUUGCCGCCCUGGUCUGCCCGAGGUACCGCUGCUGCCGUCGUCAUCCCUCUAACCCACCUCUACCCAAACCCCAUAACCCGCUACAUGUCCUCCGCCGCCGACACCACGACAAGUUGCGCCGUCCCUGCCUACGUCCAGGUCCUAGCUCCAUCUCCAUCUUGGAGAUGCCGCGACAGGCAGUGUCACCUCCAUCUGAGCCUUACUGCCGUCUCACCUACUUCUCAGGCAAAAAUUCCAGUCACCUGAUAAAUAGCAAGCACAAUUAUAAUAACAUGAAAUAACUUCACUUCUAUAGGGGGCUCAAAAGAAUUUAAUGACAACCUUGCUGUAAAAUUUGUCGAUCUAGAUGUUGACUCUUCCAAGGGUUGAUUGUGAACCAUUAGAUCCUUCGGCUCGGGCAAAAAAGGAUUAAAUCAAAUAAUGCAGCCCUAGGAAAAAGGCCAUAGAAAGAUUCCAGGUCCACUAAGAGAAGACAAAUGAAUUAAAACAAUUUUUUAAAGGUUCACAUUGCUAUCAAUAAGACCAAAUCAUGUUUUGAGUCUCAUGUAUUCGGCACUUAGGAGCUAUACAUUCCAAAAUUACAUUGUUGUAGCAUAAAUCAAUGUAUUAACAUAUAUGGUUUAGUCUGAGAAAUAAGUUGUCUUGUCAAGCAUAACUUCUGAAUGUAUAAAACAAUAAGGAGGAAAUAAAUGUGAUCAUGAAAGCCAUCUUCCUCAAACUUUACUGUGUAACUGUAUUUAGUUUUUUGACCUGCUGUAACUGCAUUUAGCGGAAGCAUAAUUUGCUCCAUAACCAAGAAAAAAAUAAUGAAAUGACCACAAAUUUAACAUGGAUAGAAAUGUGGCAAAUAAAAAAUGGAGUGUCUUAUGACCUGUAACAUAUAUGAAAACAAGACCAGGUGCAGGUGCAUGUGGCUGGUGCAUCAGGAUAUGUAAGAAGUCAGCAAGAAUUGUGUGUUGAUCAAGCAGGGCCAAUGCCAUGUGAAUAGACCAAAUAUCAUACUCCAAACCUCCCAUUUGACUGUAAAAAGACCUUACUUUCAUUGGCACGUCCGUUAUUAUUGAUCAAGAAAGUAUAAAUCAUAUGUACAUUGAAAAUGUUCACGUGCUCACGCCCUCAAAUGGCAGACCAACAACUAAGAUAAACCAUACCCAUAGGUUAAUUUUUAAAGCAAUGCUUUCUUUUCUCAUAUACAAAUAGUUCCGUAUACUAACAGUCUAACUCAGCAAUCGUGCACAUGCAACUUCGGAAGUAAUAUAAAUAUAGAUCAUUGCAUGUUAAUUGCUAUAUCAACACCUUUUCUAAAAAAAAUUGCUAUAUCAACAAAACUCAACAGAAAAGAAAGAAUGCUGAGCUGUAAACAAAUAUAUUGCAUGUUAGUUGUAGUCGCAGCAAAUCGUUCCCUGACGCCUAGAAGACAUGUCAUUACAAAACAUAGCACCUCACACAUGUAGCAAAAAUCUAACAUGUCGUUACAGAAUUAGCAGCAUAAAGUCAGUCAUAAAUGUGGACUAAAUUCUAAGGAAACAUAAAAGUAUCUAUGUAAAUAAGCUUUCAGUGGCCUAGUUUGAGAUUAAGCACCACUAUCCAUUGUUCCAUCAUUCAGCUAAAAAUCAAAAUAUUUGAUUGAUAUUGAGACCCUCGAGAAAAAACAUAAAAUCAGGCUUGUCAAUAGCUAGCUAUUGUAUAUGUAUCUCCAAAUUUCUUGUACAAUCAUUGUGUGAUUGUUCAAAACAGAUAGCUUGAACUUUGGAUUCUACAAUUGCUUGAUUGGAAAAUACUAAUUUUAUAAUAUUAUCAACUGCCAUUGAUUCGAGAGUGAGUGAAUAUGAAAACAAAUCAGACAUAAAAUGAAAACCUGCAAAAGAUUGUAGGUGCUAAUCAGUAUACUUUACUAACACUUUGGUUGCAGAAUAAAAAGAGAUUCUAAAUCCAAAUCUAAGACUAUAUGAACAACAGGGGAGGGGUUGACAUAGCCAACAACUUCUGACUUUGAGUCGAAGCUUGGAUUGUACGUAAGACAAGUAUUGCAGAAUAAACAACAUUCAGGUAACAAGAAGGCUUGCAUAAACCCACAAAAAUAUAAAAUUUAAUACAUGGAAGCAUAUGAAUACAAUGUUCAGUGAACACGGGUCUUCGAUGGAAUUGCUCAACAAGCAGCAUUAAAAAAUAAUAUCACUGCUCAACAAAUGGGAUAAACAGAGAUAAAGAUAUCACGUGUAGACUCAGAUUUAAUUCAACGAAUAUUCCCCAUGUCAUGGAUACAAUCUUGAUAACUCGAAAAAUAUUACAGAUAGAUCAGAGUUGCAAAAUUGAGGUGAUCCAAAAAAAUGGACAUUUCACUGGCUGAUGGCAAUCUCUAUUAGUACAGAAUCUAUAUGAAAAUACUCAACUGUUAUGAAAGAACUAUAAGAAUUGUUGUAUGGGUACAAUCAGGAGUGCUCAGAAUUGCAAUUAGGACCUUCCAGUAGCUGAGGGGAAUCUAUAGUUAAUACAAAAUCACUAUGCAAAUAUUCAACUUGUAAGAAAGAACUACAAAUACUUGUUGUAUGGGUUCAAUUAUGAGUGCUCAACAGGUGAAAUAAUAUACUUGUUGUAUAUGUGUCCGUCCUUUGCGACGGUUAUCAAAAAAUGGGAAAAUAAAUAUAUCUCUAGUACUGUAGCACACCUUUGAUGUAUAAUUCCGUAUGAAGACAUUUAUUUACUACCCCUAUAUGCAAAAAAUGGCGAUGAACAAAUACUACCGGCUGCUCAUAUCUGUUCAAGGAGACGACAUAUCCAUUACAAAUAGUGAAUUUUAGUAUUUCAAUCUAUUCAUGUUGCCCUUAUGUAUCAUGUAUUAUACUAUGUGCCUAGAAAAUACACCCAAAAGGAAGCUGCAGAGAAAGGACCAGUGGAGCACUGAUGAAUCUAGCAUGCAUUUGUCAGUAAGUACUCACAUUAAAAUCUGACGAAAUGACUAAUCGAGUACAUCCCUUUUGUGCACCAUUAGAGUACAGCCUGUUGACUUGUAUGAGUGCCACAAGUGCCUGUUCUUGUCAUCAGAGAGUCAGGAAGCCACGGGCAGCGGAGGUUAUUUCAUCUACAACAGAGUGGUGACGAACAAUCAAAAUCAAAUAAAUGAAAUCGACAAGAUUGCUUGCAGUCAAUGGGAAUGAAGGACGAUGGAGAAGAUAACACACCAGUGAGUGAAAUUGAUGCCGCCCCUCGUGCAUGCUUAUGGUCUGCCAUGGGGGGAGCGGGGAGGGAGGCCAGGAGCGUGCCGGCGAGGGCUUCGUGGGGAUAGCAAGACGCGCACAGGAGAGGGCGUCGUGGGAGGCGGCAAGGGUGACGGGGAGGGCCGCCGGCGCGGCGAGAGCGUGGCCN
rnacentral:lncRNA from 1 species